ACCAGGCAAUUUACUAUUUAGAAAAUAAAGGGGAGAAUAAGUACAAGCAAAAUUAAAUUAUUCUCUUGAGGACCUUAUUUGCUUUGCAAUGAAGAUGAAAACUGAGGAGCUGAAUUUCUAAAUGAGCUGUAUAACACUGCACAGCUAUUGGCCCACCCAGGGGUUGGCAGUGUUUUAGGAAAAGCAGGUUGAAAUAGUGCAGUUCAGUCCAAAGAGGGCUGCUGCUUGCAACCUGGCCACUGAUGUUCGCUUUGCUACCUACAUAUUUGCUGCUAAAUGCCACCUAGUCAAUCACCUCUCUGCCAAAUUGCCAUUGAUGUGCCAACUCUGUAGACCAGAUGAAAUUGCUUCACAGAUUGGAUUUGGAUCCCAGACUGCUGGUUGCUGACCCCUGGUCUAAAUGCUACACAUACAGGGUAAAGCAGUAAUUAUAUGGCUCUAAAAAAUACUGCAUGUUUCCUGUUCUCCCUUCCAGGCACCCAGAAGCUCCACUCCUUAGGUAGGUGGAGCCAUGGCUCUGUUGGCUACCUCCCCAGUACAAGAGAAGGCUCCACAGACAAAAAAGCUCCACACCAACCUCUCCACCUCAUUCUGAUUAUCUGCUGGAGAAAUACUCAUUUAGUCAAUGGCACGGUUGAGUCACAGAAGGAAAAGGUCACACAAGCAUGUAGUAUGCACAAGCAACAGAACCCGCAAACUGCUACAUUGGAAUUGACACCGGCGCUGAUCUUUUCGGACUCUGCCAUUUGGCAAAUCGACAUUGUUGGGCCUGUCAUUUCAACCAAAUGAGAUAUCGUUAUAAGAGCUUGACACUGCUCCCACUGAAGUUACAAAACAUCCAUUCCCUUGGGACUAUGCCGGAAGAGUCCAUGUCUUCUGUGCCCCUUUCCAUUGGGGUGAAUUUCAUCCUUCUGAAUAAAGAAAAUCGCCUGUUAUUUUGAAAAGCAGAUGAAUCCCUAAAUACUGCAUGGGGCUUUCUGUAGAAAGUGAAGACUAUUAAACAAUAGCAGAAAAACUGUAAUAAUAAAUCCUUUCAACUCCUACAGCUCCUUACAUUUGGGGAUUUCAGACUUGCAUCAUAUUUACCAGGGGAUGGAGUGUGAGGAAUUGUAUAGAAAACACAAACACUUGUUAGAAUAGAGGCCUUUUUGCCAGGAAUAGAAUGAUUUUUGUAAUGAAUAUGACUCACAGGCACAGGUUAUUUGGAUUUCUCGAUUUCAGUUUAUUGCCAUGACAAGGAAAUGAAUGGUUUGCAUUUUUUGUAUGCUUACCUGAUUCAUUUGCUAUUGUUGUUUAAAAAUCCUUCAAGGACAGAGACACCCUCAUUAUCUGGCUUAGGAUUCUUCCUACUAGGCCAAUAUAAAAGAUUAAAUUGUAUUGCCUGAGGCUGCACCUCUAUAUUUAGUAAGUUUAUAUCCAAGCAGGUCCUUCAGUAAAUGUAUAAGUAUGGAGGCUUUAUGUACUUUAAAAAUGUAGCAAGGAAAUGCAUAAAUAUGUAGAAAAUAGCUUCUUCAAACUGAGGAAUGUAACCUUGCGUUAUCUUUUUGUCUCCUUAAUAUAAAGCGAGAGACUCAAAUCUAUCUUUAUUAUUACUUCCAGAAUGCAGGUAAUGAAAAAAGAAUUAUUAUUUACCUGCUACAGAAACUAAACAAAUAUAAAUAGGGUUGAGCCUGUGACUAAGAUAUUACAUUUUGUUACAUAUAUUGUGUUCUGGAAGAACCAGUUCAGCAGGGUUCAUUAAAGCAGUUCUUAGGGGCCUAAACCUUUCUCUGUCAGAGGUCUCCUCUCAUUAAUUCCCACAGAAUGGACUCAUAAAAUUAUACAGUUCCUUCAUCAAUGGAUCAAAAGGCUCCAAAUGCUUAAAUAAGGGUCUUGGAGGGGCUGCAAGCACAGACAGAAGUGUAGCUUCCUACUGUAAGUCAUGGCACUUUGCAGGAAGCACCAUGAGUUACAGCAAUUCCCCAGACCCAAGAGACAUUCACUGUUGGGUCUUGGGUGUUGGGGGAUGGAGCUGCAGUUUGGAGAGUCUGUGAGUCUGCAGCUGCUCUCCAUCAGAUGAUAACAGUGGAUCUCAUUCCAUUAACUGGCAUACGGGCUGUAAAAGAUUGUCAGGACCCAAAAGCUUCUUGUGGUUCAGGAGGAACAGUUUUUAUCUCACCUCCAUCCCCCCAACAAUGAAUUUCUCUUGAAGUCUGGGAGGGUGAAUUUUAUGCAGAAUGCAUUUGCAAUCUAGCCUUAGCAAUCUAGUAAAUCCCUGUGCAGAGAGGUUUAUAAAACUUAGCAUGAUUCCUCCCCAUUUUUUUGUAACCUUAUAACUGAAAUUCAAGCAGAUCCUUAACUACUGAAGCUGUAAUUAUCGUAGGAACUGUUAUUGUAUGACUCCUGCCGAAAUAGCAGUCCCUUAUGCUUGGGAGGAAAAGCAAUAAUAAAAAUGUUGGAAAAAAAUCUGACCCGGUACUAUACUCACUUAAAUCUCCUUUCAAAAGACAUUACUUGCACUGUGCUUAUGGUAAAUUAGACAGUCGCUAUAUGGCCCUAACCAAAGCCUGAGAACAAAAGAGUGUGUUUAGUUGUGUCAAACACACACCUUUUUCCUUUCUGCCGUGUCCUCUCCAGGACAGUU